rnacentral:rRNA from 1 species
UGCGGAGGAUGCAAGCGUUAUCCGGAAUGAUUGGGCGUAAAGCGUCCGCAGGUGGCUAUGUAAGUCUGCUGUUAAAGAGUGAGGCUCAACCUCAUAAAAGCAGUGGAAACUACAUGGCUAGAGUGCGUUCGGGGCAGAGGGAAUUCCUGGUGUAGCGGUGAAAUGCGUAGAGAUCAGGAAGAACACCGGUGGCGAAAGCGCUCUGCUAGGCCGCAACUGACACUGAGGGACGAAAGCUAGGGGAGCGAAUGGG